rnacentral:lncRNA from 1 species
CACGGACAGCACCGGCGCCGGCAUCUCAUCCGCGCCGAGCUCCGGCACCAGUCCCCGGAACGCCGCGACGUCGUGCUCCUCGUCGCCGGCGAGGCUGCGGAGGUCGCCGCCGUCGGCCUCGGCCUCGACGAAGGCGACGGCGGCGGCGGAGCAGUCGACGGCGACGUCGCCGGUGGCGGGGAGGUAGGCGAGCUUGCCGGCGAGGGGGAGGAAGCGGCGGAGGGUGGCGGAGAGGGAGGAUUUGAGGGAUUGGAGGAGGGCGGGGAAGGGGGGCAGGUCGGGGGAGGGCUCGUAGAUGAGGAUGCGCUGGAUCGGGGGGUAGGCGAGCCAGUGGGUGUCGAAGAGCGAGAGCUUGAUUAAGUUCCCGGGAGGGUUUGGGACGGGGGCGCCAUCCGGGAGUGGGACGUGGCUCACGUUAAGAAUCCGCACCUCCCACAUCAGAAACUGCAAAUUAUGAUGAUGGAAAAAUAACGGAGAUCAAGAAGAGGACGAAGCAGCAGCAGCAGCAGCAGCCGCAGCAGAGAGCCGGAUUAUGAACUGGUGGCUGAAUCGAACGCAGAAGAAGACUAUCAAUACACGCAACUAUAUAUAUAAAUUAUUAUAUACACAUUGCUUUCAAUUCUUUUAAAAAAUAAGACUAAAUUACAUAAAAUCUCCUAUCAAAACAUAAUUUUUUUUUUUUUGUCAUUAAAAAUCUACACUUUAUUUUCAUUAUAAAAUAAAAAAUAGUAAUAAAAAAUUAUGGUGUAAAUUAUGAUGAUAAAAUAAUCAUUUUAUCCCUCAUCAUUUUUUAUAACAAAAGAGAAGUCUAUGAACAUUUUUAGCAUAAAAAAUAUAUAAUAAUAUUUUAUAAGCGGAAUCUAACAAAUCACUAACGGUAGGAGAUGAAAUGAAUAUUUUUUAUUUUGUAAUGAAGGACAAAAUAUAGAUUUUUAAAUAACAAAACAAAUAAAAAAUUAAAUUUUAACAAAAAAAAAAAUCUGUAAUUUAGCCAAGGAAUAAUACCCCACACACACACACACCAAAAGGGUUAUACAAUGUACACUUUAUUGAUCUACUAUCCAUGUGAUUAAUAAAAGUCAUUGUACGUCAUACAUGCCAUUAGUAAGUGAACAAAUAGUUAUUUUUUUAAAAAAAAAUCAACUAUACAAACGGGGAAUAAAUAAAAUUACAAAUUUACCGAUCGUCCGUAGAGCAAGUGAUAAAGAGGUUGAUAGUUGGUACCCGAGAUCCAAGUUCGAUUCAUAGUUGAUUCAUAUUUUCAACUAAAUUUAUUUCUAAAUAAAAAAAAAUAAAGCUUCUAAAGAAAAAUAAAUUUAUUCCUCAUAAAUUUUAACCAUUAAAUAUAAAUUGGAGUUCUCUUUGUUACAGUUUAUUCUUUUUCUCCUUGGGAAUUGGGAUAGUGUAGCGGUGACGAUCGCCUUUUUUGGAAAACCUUCUUAAUUGCUUUGACGAGCUCACCAUUGUCGAUCCGGCCCAGCUUAGCUGCUCGUCUUCGCGCUUAGUAAAUAUUUUAUCUAAUAAUAAAUAUUUUAUUCUUACCUAAUCUAUAUAUUUUAUAUUAAAUUUAAAUUUUUUUUAUUUAAUAUAUAAUUUAGAUAUAAAGAUAUUAUUUUUCAAGAGUAUUUAAUGAGCGAGAGUACAACAUCCCCAUGUAUUCGCUGUCACGUGUGGAUGAGGCAAAUGGUUGGCUCUGUUUGAUUGGUUAACCGCGAGGGGGCGCUCUUCCAAUAUUAUGUACCCUAAGCCAUUUUUUAAGCUAAAAAAAUAAAUAAAAAAAUUAAUUGAACAUAAGAUAGUAGAAUUAAUAAUAUCAACAAUACCUACUUUGGCUUCUGUAUUUACUUUAUUUUAAAAAUAUUAAUUAUAUAAUAAUAAUUUUAUGAGGCGGCAUUUAUUUUAUUUUAAAAAUGUUAAUUAUAUAAUAAUUUAAUGUGGCGGCAAAGACAUUUUUUCUUAUUGUCAUAUUUGAUUAGUUAACGAUACAUUAUGAUUAAAUGACAGAUGUUGAGUUAUUAUAACAAUACAUUAUGAUUAAAUGACAAAUGUCGAGUUAACAAAACAUUAUGAUUUUUAAAGAUACGUAAUCCAAAUUUUCCACAGCAUUGGAGUGUUGGCGAAAGAGUGGGCUGACUUCAGUCGAGUUUGGUGACGUUUUACUUGUUGGGCUGUAUAGUGUUUUUGUCACCUGUGGUCGAUUGGUCGUCAGUCUUUCUUUUUUUCUUUUUUUCCUUUUGCUACUCUUUUUUUUUUUUUUCUGGUCUUCGCGUCUUUUUGAGGCCUUAGCUGCCUCGCCCUUUAUAGCUAAUUUUAUUUACUGAAUGAAUGAAGCGGAUGGCAUGCUACCUUCCUCUCUAAAAAAAAAAAAAAACAAAACAUUAUGAUUAAAUGACAGAAUUGUACGCAAUCAAUCACUAAUAAGAACAUAAUUAAACGCCUCAUCUGUAAUACAAUUUUAAUUAUGAUAUCGCAUAACAAAUAUGACCUCCUCAAUAGUUAAUUAAUCAGCAAGGGUCUGGUCGGCCUCGUUGAGAAAGUGAGCCUUAAACGCAUCGAUGUGGUUCGGGCUCAGCGACACCGACACUUGGACCCCACCGUCCCGGCCCCCGACCAGCACGAUCUCCCCGUCGUGGUUCAUGGACACCAGCCGAAGUCGGUCUCGUACACCCUGAACCGGGGCGACGCCGCCACGUUGGCGAGCCGGUCCAGCGGGAGCACCAUAAACCGGUCCAUCCAGUUAUGAGACAUCGGGUCAUCCAGCGCCUCGCGGAUCGCCGCUUGGAUCGCCGAGGAGGCGCGGGGGAGCGCGUCGGGGCCGGAGAACUCGCCAGCUGGCGCCGUCGCGAAGCAGCCCUUGAUCAAAUUACCGAAGUACCCCUCGUCGACCGGGGGGUCGAGCCGGGUCCGGACGUCCGCGAGGAAGCAGAGGUGGGCGUCGCCGCCGGCCCGGUCCAGCGACUUGGACCGGACGAAGGCGGUCCACGCCAGGGCCGACACCGCCACGAACGUCGAGGGGGGCUGCUGCGGCGCCACGUGGCCCUGCGUGAUUCGCUGCUUCAGCCACUCGAUGCGCUCCGGGGUGACCACGAAGGUUCGCCGCGAUAGCAUGAAGCGGCCUUCAAAAGCGAGAUUCGCAGAGCGCAACUGUUUUUUUUUUUUUUUUUGGUGCAUUGAAAGAAAUAAAAAAUGUUAGACUCCAUGUAAUCACUAAUUACGAAUGUGUAACGUAAUGCCAUCACGAUUCUUAAAAAAAAAUCAUUUAAUCUCGUAUUCGGUUAAUUCUUUUAAAAAAUGUGUUAAAUUAUUAAGACAGAUCAAAUAACUCAAAUGCAAUAAAAAAAAUACUAAUAAACAUAUCAGUGAGACAUUUAAACAGUCAAAUAUUACUUUUGAUAUCAUAAAUUAUAUUAGCUUAAAUUUUGAAUUCAAAAUAUUGUUGACUAAAUCAUAUCAAAUAAAUUAAAAAGUAGAUAGUAAUAUUAAAAUUUUAUAAGAUGAAAUAGUAAAUUUAAAAUAUUUUAUAAUACAUAUAAGUUUUAUAUGUUUUUAUUAAGAAUUUAUUGUGUAUUCACGGUCUUCCCGAGAAGGAACUUUAUUGUGUAGCAGCUACGUAUCGAUAUCAUUUAUAACUAGUCAAUCGUAUUUUUAUUUUUGAGAAGGAAAAUACAGUAAAAAUAUUUUUCUAAAAAUUAUAAUAAAAUAAAAUGGAUGAAAUUUAAAAAUAUUAAUUGAUUGGUUGGAAACGCCACGUGAGUAAUAUGGCUAAUUGACUGCUGUAUUUCUAGAUCAUGAGUAGCUAUUAGAACUUUUUUUAGUUAUCUUACAUUUUAAAAUUCGUACCACAAUUCUGAAAUAACUGUUACUUGAUAAAAGUUUAAGCUAUCAAAAUAGAUUUUAUUUUAAUAUAAUAUAUUUAUAAUAACCAUCUUAAUAUAGAAAAAUUUUUGGCAUGGUUUAUGUGGCUGAACCAAAAGAGCACAACUACCUGAUCUUUGCAGAUUUUAUUGUCUAACUAUAUAAAAAAUUAUAUCUAAAAAUUAUAUACUUAAAAUAGCCUAAUCCCAAUCUUUCUGCCAAAUUAGUGGAUAAUGAGAGGGAAGGUAGGGAUGAAAAGGAAAAAAAAAAAAGAAAAAAAAGUGAGGCCCAACUCCACCGCACCUACCCCGAAAUUAACAUGGAGAUGUCAAAUAGUAUUGGGACUCGAGGUUCAUAUAUGGUUAUAGAUUAUAAAUGUUGUUGCAAUGGAUAAGGACUCGAAAAGAGUAUGUGCAUCCCAACAUUAAGGCAUGUUUGUUUCAAUGAAAGUGGGGCGAAAGUGGAGAGGAGGGAAGUCGGUUUCGCCCUAAACGAUCAUUUCUGUUAUUGGCUUGCCGUAAAAAAGUUACGGUCGAAACUCGAGUUAAUCUCAAACGGCGUAAUUUGCUUCAUCCCAUCGGGGGCGAAGUCGAUUACGGUAAAAAUAGAUAAAAAAUUAAUAAAAUAAUAUAAUAGAUAAAGCUAUUAUAUUUAAAUAUAUUUAAUUAUGUUACUAAUUAUUUUCUUAUUCAGUUAAUAUAUCUAAAAUAUGAUAAAAAUCGAUUAGUUAAGUUUUAAUAUUUUUUUUAUUUAGUUUGUACAUUUAAAAUAUGAUAAAAAUUGAUUAAUUAAGUAUUAAUAUUUUUUUGCUUUAUAAUUUUAUUAUUGUAUUACUAUAAUUUAUGUAUAAAAAAAUAAUUUAGUUGUUUUAAAUUAAAUUUUAAUUAUAUAAAAAUAUAAUUAUAUUAUUUUUAUUUAUUAAAAUAUUUAUUAUUUAUAUAUAAAUUAUAGUUUUAUAUUAUACACUUCCUACCAAACAAACAGCAGAACUGAUACAACUUCACUUCCAUAACUACGAAACAAAAAGCAGAAAAGAAAUAGUUUUUACCGAACUCCAGUUCAACCCAAAGUCCACUUCAACCCAUAGUCUACAUGUUUGUUUGGGUGGAAGUAGGGUGGAAGUGAAGAGGAGGGAUGUCAUUUUUGCCCUAAACGACUACUUCCGUUAUUUGGUUUGCCGUAAAAAAGUUACGGUUGAAACUCAAGUUAAUCUCAAACGGCGUAAUUGACUUCGUUCCAUCGUGGGCCGAAGUUAAUUAUGGUGAAGAGAGGUGAAAAAAAAAUAAAACAAUAUAAUAGAUAAAGCUAGUUAUAUUUAAAUAUAUUUAAUUAUGUUACUAAUUAUUUUUUUAUUCAGUUAAUAUAUCUAAAAUAUGAUAAAAAUUGAUUAGUUAAGUUUUAAUAUUUUUUUAUUUAGUUUGUACAUUUAAAAUAUGAUAAAAAUUGAUUAAUUAAGUAUUAAUAUUUUUUUACUUUAUAAUUUUAUUAUUGUAUUACUAUAAUUUAUGUAUAAAAAAAUAAUUUAGUUGUUUUAAAUUAAAUUUUAAUUAUAUAAAAAUAUAAUUAUAUUAUUUUUAUUUAUUAAAAUAUUUAUUAUUUAUAUAUAAAUUAUAGUUUUAUAUUAUACAUUUUCUACCAAACGAACAACAAAACUGAUGAAACUUCACUUCUAUAACUACGAAACAAACAGCGGAGAAGAAGUAGUUUUCACCGAGCUCCAGUUCAACCCAAAGUCCAGUUUCGGUGAAACAAACAUGCCCUAAGAGCUCCAAUGAUAUCAUAUUUAUUUAUUUCUAAGGCUAAAUUACAGAAAACCUUUCUAUCAAAACUCAAUUUUUUUAUUUUUUUCCUUGUCAUUUAAAAAACAUACACUUUGCCUCCUUGUAAAAUGAUAAAUGUUCACAGGGGGUACGGUGUGAACUGUGAUGAUAAAAUAAUCAUUUUGUCCCUCACCAUUUUGCCUCUCACCAUGUUCACAGAAGAGAAGGUUGAGGACAUUUUUGCCAUAAAAAAUAUAUAAUAAUAUAUUAUAAACGGAACCCUAACGGAUUACUAACGAUAGGGGGCGAAGUGAAUAUUUUUUAUUUUACAUGGAGGCAAAGUGUAAAUUUUUAAUGACAAAGAGGAAAAGUAAAAAAUCAGAUUUUGACAGAGAUGUUUUAUAUAAUUUAGCCUAUUUAUAAUUAGACAAAAUUUUAUAUAUUAAAAGAUAUAAAAGUAGACAGUAAAUUAUUUGUGAUUUUUUCAUACAAAAUAUUUACUUAGUAACAAAAACUAGAAAGAGUAAAUUUUUUUUUGGCAUCUAAUUUUUUAAAUAAGCUGUCAUCUACGACUUAACCGGAUACAUCAUAAGCUAGCUAAUCACGAUAACAAAAAAGAUUUUUCUUCGGCAUAUUAAAUUAUAUAGAAUUAAUAUUUAAAAGAAUAAAAAAUAAUAAUGAUAUUAAACGAGAUCUAAACUUUUUAAUUAAUAAGCUACUUGGCACUCGAUUCGAAACAAUUAAUUUUGUCCAAACAUGAGGAGGUCAAAGAAAAAAGAAGAAGAGUAGCUGUGAAUGACAAGAGGUAGUCCCAAUAACACGAAAAGAUGAAUGUGCAACGGACUUUGGAGUACAGACAAAAAUUUUAUGGGCAUCGUGAUCAAAUAAUUUGUUUGGGCACGGUGCCCGGAUGGGCGCCGCGUGUGCAGCGAUGCCCAUCCGCACCCUCCCUUCCCCCUCUCUUUCUCUUUGUUCCUAAAAAUCGAGCCCACCAUUUUUUAUUUUUUAUUAUUUUAGGGUGCGGUGGGCGCAGCUACACACGCAACGCCCAUCGGAGCACCGUGCCUAUAAAAUUAUUGUCCUUGGAGUACUAGCUUUGGAUGUAGAUCAAAAGCAUACGCCUUACUUAGCUCAAGAGAGUGAGUUAUAACUUCUAGGCCGUUUUUAAGAUCUAUUUGGAGCUGUAAUUUAUGUUUGCGUCUGCUUUCAAGAGAACAGUUUGACUAGAUGCGGUUGCGCAUGGCUAGACGUGGUGUCUUCCCAGCAAUGAUAAAGAAAAUUUGUACUUUAAUAACUUGUCAGUUUGAAUAUUAAUAAAUCAUUGAGAAUGGCUUCGCAGAUAAGGCUAAUUAUUGUGGCGUGAUUUGACUUUGACUGUAUGUACCACCGAAUAUCUGACGUACAAAAACCAACUGAUUUAAGACAAAUAGGGGCGGCUCCGAAGGAAGCAGUAAGCAUCAAGAUAAAAAAGUUGGAGAUGUGACAGCUGUCAAUACGGAUAAGUAUUGCAAGUUGAGCAUGCACGUAUACGCACCUUAGGAAGAUCCGGCGUGAACCGCCGCGCGAACUCCCGCGCGGCCUCGUCGGCCCUCGGGUGCCUGAUCAGCGCCCGGUCGAACGUCGGCGGCGCCCCGAGCUCGGUGUCGGUGGCCCCGCGGCACUCGGCCGCCCACGCCGCCAGGAACUGCCACACCGCCCGGCCGUCCGCGACAGCGUGGAGGGCCGAGACGCCGACGACCGCCCCGCCGCCGGCGAGCCUCGUGGCCUGCACGGACAGCACCGGCGCCGGCAUCUCAUCCGCGCCGAGCUCCGGCACCAGUCCCCGGAACGCCGCGACGUCGUGCUCCUCGUCGCCGGCGAGGCGGCGGAGGUCGCCGCCGUCGGCCUCGGCCUCGACGAAGGCGACGCCGGGGCCGACGGCAGCGGCGGAGCAGUCAACGGCGACGUCGCCGGUGGCGGGGAGGUAGGCGAGCUUGCCGGCGAGGGGGAAGAAGCGGCGGAGGGUGGCGGAGAGGGAGGAUUUGAGGGAUUGGAGGAGGGCCGGGAAGGGGGGCAGGUCGGGGGAGGGCUCGUNAA